UUUUGUACGCAGGGAUGGAACCUCUGGAACUUGAGGCCUGAAGCUUGAGGUAGGCAUCAUGGGCCGCGCUGGAAAGGAAGACCCUCAUGGCAGUUUGUGAACUCAGCCUGGAGCAUCUGAUGAGGAGAUUUCCAGUUGCUCUCUGCUUCCUGUACCUGCUUGAAGAUGUGAAGGCUUAGCUUCUGCUCCUGCUCUGGCCACCUCACCACGCCUCCCGGCAAUGACGGACUCUAAUCCCUCUGGAACCUGGAACUGGAGAUCCCUGGGGAAGAGACCAUCAGCUCUCCAAGCAGCCCCUCAUUCAGCCUGAUAAUGAAGGUGCUUUCACUGUGAAUUUGAAGCAGCCAAAGACCAAGAUGGGAGUAACUGCGGCCACCACGUCAUCGUAUGAGAAGCGUGGGUCUGAGGAGUGGGGGAGCGAAGCAAGGCUGUCUUCCAGAUCAUCUGCCCUCCUAGGGAUCUGAUUCAGCAAAGCAGCCUGCCAGCCAGUCCUUCUUCGGAGGGAGGACAUGAAAAGGGACUCUGUCCCUCCAUCCUGCAGUGUCCAGGUAUCACUUCCGUGGAGGAGGAAUGGUACACUGGCUUCCCCCCCCCCUCCAGGAUGCCUUUGCCUCAGACUACCUCGCCUGACUUCCUAGCUGUUCUGAGGUGAGAAGGAAGAGCUUAGCGGCCAGGCCUGGAGCACCUCUGACCUGCUGGGACCCACCACCAGGGAGCCGCCUCUGAAAUCAAUUUGGAAAUCUCUGCCUCCUAACACAAAUGGACUUGUCAGGGGAAUAGAAAGCUCUGCCAGGUUCCUAACCUGAAAAACUGGAUGAAUCUGCCAAAAGCGGUGAGCAGGCGGCUGUUCCCCUGGCCACAGAGACCCAGGAGGAUGGGGGACAGAGGAGACAGUGGGUGGAAGAGGAUGCAGAGCCGAAUCGGUCUAGCUUCAGUCCUGGGGAUGCCACUUGACAGGGAGAAACUGGCCAUGUGACCUAUGGUGUCUGAGCCUGUUUGCCUAACGCCAGUGGCGGUGUGGAGGGCGACUGCCAGCGUCCGCCAGGGCUUUCCUGGAGGUCAGGGACAUCUCCAGGCCCUGCGCAUUGACCCCUGCUCCCUAGUGGCUUGUUACGUCCAUGCAGGCACAGCACACAGGCACCUGGGGUCUCUGCUUUUCUUCAUACUGCAAGUAUUUGCCAUGUUGCUAGAGCUGCAUAAACAGCAGGCAGUGAUUACAAGCGGGUAGGGAUGUGGCUCAGCAGGUGGGUAGAGUGCUCGCCUAGCAUGUGCUGAAGCCCUGGGUUCAAU